rnacentral:rRNA from 1 species
CACCGCCCGUCACACCAUGGGAGUCAGUUGGUACCGGAAGCCGGCGAUCGAACCCGCAAGGGGCGCAGCCGUCCAUGGUAUGGCUGGUGACUGGGGUG